UACGUAGGGGGCAAGCGUUGUCCGGAAUUAUUGGGCGUAAAGAGCGUGUAGGCGGCCAGAUAAGUCCGCUGUGAAAUCUCGAGGCUCAACUUCGAGCUGUCGGUGGAAACUAUCUGGCUAGAGUCCGGAAGAGGAGAAUGGAAUUCCUGGUGUAGCGGUGAAAUACGCAGAUAUCAGGAAGAACACCCGUGGCGAAGGCGGCUCUCUGGGACGGUACUGACGCUGAGACGCGAAAGCGUGGGGAGCGAACAGG
rnacentral:rRNA from 1 species